CAAGAUCUCAUUGGUGCUGCUGAAUGAUGCUUGAUAGUACUACUGCUUGUUAGUCUAUUUAGGUCAAGGUGAUAAUAAGGUUUAUUUUGAGAAGACAUGAGACAAGCAAAAGAGAUAUGUGACAGUUUUAGCGAAUGGCCUCGCUACUUCUUGUUCUGUGUCUGGGUCAUCGACAUCGCCUUGAUAUUUUGGAUUUAUCACCUGGAAACACGUUUGAAAGAAAUAACUGAAAAAUACCAGAGGGACAGAUGUCAAGAAGAGGACUAUGUCAACUGCACAGAAAGUGUCUUUACAUGUGAGCAAGCCAUCUGAAGCAGUAAACGAGCAAUUAAUGUAAAACUGCUGUCUUAUAAAAAUGACAGUUUAAAAAAAAAAAAGAAGAAGAAGAAUUUAUGUCUUGUAAUGGAGUGUCUCAGUGUAGACCUACUUUAUGAAAUGAAUUUACGUUCACCACAUUCAAAUGUAUAUUUUGUGUGGCAGCCUGCAUUUGAAUAGUUACAGCUUGAUUAUUUGUUGUUCAGCAUUUCUGAUCAAAAAAUAAUGUGCACUCUAAAAUAAAUCUAAAAUUGUUGUUUUAAAUUUAUACUGAAAAAUAAUAUGCUUGUAUAAUAUCUAAAUACAAAAUUUGUAUAUAACCUUUAUUCCUGUCACAAAAAAAGGAGUUUAAAGGAACUGUUUACUCAAUAUGUGAGAAGACUCAAUAUGCUAUAUUUUUGAGUAAAAAAUAAUGGUAAAAUUCUCAACUUGUGUUGACACAUGUGAAGGAUUUUUUAAAAAUUAAUCAUAAAAUUUCUUUUUCUUGCAGUCUCAACAUUUGUAUGCUUUUGAGUAAGUUCACUUGAGCCAAAGUUAGUGUUUCAAUAACAGAUGCAUAAAGAUGUUGUAAAUUACCUCAAAAGGAAAAUGUAUAUCAAUAAUUAAUUACAAAUAUUUAUAUCAGCUGCCAUUAGUAAUUGUAGCAGAAUUACUAUCACAAUCAACUAAUCUGUUCAUCAAGUGAACAUUCAGUGUAGUUUCGUACAGCGUUGGGGGUAACACAUUACAAGUAAUGUGAGUUACGUAAUCAGGUUACUUUUUCAAGCAACUAGUAAAGUAAUGCAUUAUUGUAAACAUGAUGGUUUACUGUAAUUCUAGACUAAAUGUGAACAUGCAUUUAUUCAUCUCACUUGCACAAAAACAGAGCAUUUCUUUAAAAGGGUCAUCGGAUGCAAAGUUCCCCUUUUCAUGUUGUUUGAACAUUAAUGUGUCUUGGCAGUGUAUAUACAAAUCUACCCUAUAAUGAUAAAAAUCCAUGCAGUGGUUUUUAAUUAAUCUGUAAAAAUAAUAUCCCCUUUUUCAAAUCGAGCCAUUCUCACGGUGGCGUCACACCGACAGAGGCCGCUCCCACGAUAGUUGAUUGACAUGAGCGUCUUACCUCAGACCAGCUGUAACAGUCCAACCUACAUUGUUUCGAUGCCGGAGCAGGGAUGUAAGUUAGACAAGAAUAUCUCUGACUGAAGUGUUGUGUUGCAGGAUGUAAUAAUGAACAUAGUGCUUGUCAUCAUUUACUCCCGACAUCUGAGCCACUGAAGAUGCAGUGGAUUACGUUUGUUUGUGAAGGGAAUGUGCCUCCCGAUCUACAUAAAUGCGUCUAUGUUUGCAUAAAUCAUUUGUGAUCCAGCUUCACUUAGAGCAGAAGUGAGUAUGAGGGUUUUUUUAAUGAAUCUCUGCAAUCAGCUUUAUUAAUAACGUGCUAGUUAGCAAG